AUUGCCCUUCUGUGUUCGUGAUAUUGCCUUCACGUUCUGAGCCAAUAACUAAUACAAGGGUCCUUAACUUAAUAGGAAUAACGCGAUAGGCCUGAGCCAAGGCGGCGUUUCUAGGUAGGGACCCACCUGCACUUGCAGGUUCAAAACCUGGUGAUACACGGCACAUGCGGGGCACUU
rnacentral:other from 1 species